GUACGAAGGGGGCUAGCGUUGCUCGGAAUCACUGGGCGUAAAGCGCACGUAGGCGGAUCUUUAAGUCAGGGGUGAAAUCCUGGAGCUCAACUCCAGAACUGCCUUUGAUACUGAGGAUCUUGAGUCCGGGAGAGGUGAGUGGAACUCCGAGUGUAGAGGUGAAAUUCGUAGAUAUUCGGAAGAACACCAGUGGCGAAGGCGGCUCACUGGCCCGGUACUGACGCUGAGGUGCGAAAGCGUGGGGAGCAAACA
rnacentral:rRNA from 1 species